UACGGAGGGGGCUAGCGUUGUUCGGAAUUAUUGGGCGUAAAGGGCGCGUAGGCGGUUUGACAAGUCUGAUGUGAAAUCUCUGGGCUCAACCCAGAGUCUGCAUUAGAAACUGUCGGGCUUGAGUAUGGGAGAGGUGAGUGGAAUUUCCGGUGUAGCGGUGAAAUGCGUAGAUAUCGGAAGGAACACCUGUGGCGAAAGCGGCUCACUGGACCAUAACUGACGCUGAGGCGCGAAAGUGUGGGGAGCGAACAGG
rnacentral:rRNA from 1 species